rnacentral:rRNA from 1 species
CUACGGGAGGCUGCAGUGGGGAAUAUUGCACAAUGGACGAAAGUCUGAUGCAGCAACGCCGCGUGGAGGAUGACACAUUUCGGUGCGUAAACUCCUUUUAUAUGAGAAGAUAAUGACGGUAUCAUAUGAAUAAGCAUCGGCUAACUCCGUGCUAGCAGCCGCGGUAAUACGGGGGGUGCAAGCGUUACUCGGAAUCACUGGGCGUAAAGAGCAUGUAGGUGGAUUAAUAAGUUGGAAGUGAAAUCCUAUAGCUUAACUAUAGAACUGCUUCCAAAACUGUUGAUCUAGAAUGUGGGAGAGGUAGAUGGAAUUUCUGGUGUAGGGGUAAAAUCCGUAGAGAUCAGAAGGAAUACCGAUUGCGAAGGCGAUCUACUGGAACACUAUUGACACUCAGAUGCGAAAGCGUGGGGAGCAAACAGGAUUAGAUACCCCAGUAGUC